CUCUUGAUGGCGUCUGUGUACCCGCGUGACUCUCUCUACAUCUCCUCCUUCCUCCGCCUCUCUUUUCCGAAAAAUUUGCAUUCACAUUACAGGGCCUCCACAACAAACCGCGAUUGCGCUUCAGCUCCUUCUUUCAACGCCUAUUCACAAUCCUUUGGUGCCCGGUGUUGAUUUCUUCUCUCAACCAUUCCCCACCCCCACUCGGCCUCGCCCUCUCCCGCCUGUGUGUGCGGUGCUUGCCCAUCUACACGCUUCUCAUAUUGCGCACUCACACUCGCACUCGCACUUGCUCUCUCUGUGCCGGCGUUGUUCUGUCGGCUCUUUAUUAUUAUAUAUAUCGUUGUAGCUGGCUCGCGCUGCACUCACAUUCAGGGAAGGCAAUCGUUCCCAGUGCGGUUCUCGUUUUUUUUUGCUUGAUAGCGAGUGUGUCUGUGUGCUUGACAGCACCUCCUCUGUAUUUCCUUUUUUUUUGUGUUUAUCGCGGUUUUAUCCGCGCGAUUGGGCUGCCGCUUGGCACCUUCGUUGCCUUUUCCGUUGUCUCCUCCCCCCGCUUCACUUUGCCUUUACGUGCCUCGUUCGCGCCCUUUGCAUGGGCGUGCAAGUGAGCUAGGCGGGUCCACCUCCAGCGCCAGUCGAACGCAGAGCUCACCGCGUUCGCACGCUCAACAGCACCGUGAGCGGCCACCCUGAACUUUUUUUUUGCUGGCGUCUGUGCAACCCGCAUCCUUUUCCGUUGUUUUAUUUGUACCUUCCCGCCAUUGACGUUUUAUACCCCACCGUCUCCUCUCCUUGUUGCUCGCCACACAUCGACCCUUCCCCUCCCCCUCACAUACUCGCGCAGCAAAGACUCAGAGUCAUGGACCAGUUGAUCAGCGUGAUCAAUGAGCUUCAUGACGCCUUCGCCGGCGUCAAGAUGAACAUCAAACUCAACCUCCCUCAGAUCGCUGUCGUCGGUAGUCAGAGUUGUGGCAAGAGCUCUGUGCUGGAGUCGAUCGUCGGCAAGGACUUUUUGCCGCGCGGAUCCGGCAUUGUCACACGCUGCCCUCUCGUGCUGCAGCUCGUUCAGCUGCCCAAGUCAAACGAGGAGGAGUGGGGCGAGUUCCUGCACAUCCCCAACAAGAAGUUCUAUGACUUCAACGAGAUCCAAAACGAAAUCACACGCCGCACGAUCGAAAUGGCCGGCCCGUCCGCGAUCACGGAUAAGCCGAUCAGCCUCAAGGUUUACUCGAACACGGUGCUGAACCUGACUCUCGUGGACUUGCCUGGUCUGGUGAUGAACGCCGUUGGCGAUCAGCCAAAGGACAUUGACCGCCAGAUCAAGGAUAUGGUGACGCGCUACGUGUCGCCCAAGAACACGAUCAUUCUGGCUAUUUCUCCUGCCAACACCGAUCUUGCCACGAGCCAGUCGCUGCGCCUGGCAAAGCAGCUGGACCCCGAGGGUGUGCGCACGGUCGGUGUGCUCACCAAGAUCGACUUGAUGGACAAGGGCACGGACUGCUUUGACGUACUGCAGAACAAGGUCCUACAACUCCGCCACGGCUUCGUUGGCGUUGUGUGCCGUAGUCAGCAGGAUAUCAACGAUCGCAAGUCGAUGGAGGCUGCCCGGCGGAGCGAGUACGAGUUCUUUGCAAACUCGCCCAUCUACUCCCCCAUCGCAGAGGAGGCCGGCACCGCCUACCUUAGCAAGAAACUGAACUUCUUGCUGCUGGAGCACAUCAAAGCCGUUAUUCCAGACCUGAAGCGCCACGUGGACCAGCUGAUGGAAGCCACCAAGAAGCAGAUGGAGAAGCUGGGCAUGUUUGAGCAGGAUAUCACCGAGCCCACUGCACAGCUGCUGUAUCUCAUCAAGCUUUUCAGCGACACGCUGAAUCAGACGAUUGAUGGUGGUAUCACGGAUGCCACGAAGGAGCUGCUUGGUGGGGCGCGUCUGGACUACAUCUUCCACGAGUGCUUCGCCACCUACGUGACCAGCCUGAGCGCCACGAAAGAUCUCACAGACGACUACAUCCGCAUCAACACGCGUAACAUGGCCGGUAUGCACGCCACUCUGUUUCCCUCCGACCAGGUGUUUGUCGCCUUGUCGAAGCAGCAGAUCACCCGUCUCGAGGAGCCGUGCAUCAAGUGCGUCACCUUCGUCUACGAGGAGCUGACCAAGAUCGUCGAAAUCUGCGCUGGCAAGGUGGACCGCUAUCCGAACCUGAAGGACGCUAUCAUUUCGAUCUGCAAGAAGAUGCUGCUCGACUACCGGCUGCCGACCUCGACGCACGUGCGCACCAUCAUUAAAGCCGAGCGCGGCUUCAUUAACGUGAAGCAUCCUAUGAUGGACGAGUUGGCGCAGCGCGCGUUCGCGAAUAUCUACGGCACCACGAACGGAGAUGCAUCCUCGCCGCCGCGGAAUUCGAGUGACCCGAACGCCUCAGCGGCUGGCGGUACACAGGCGGAUCCGAAGCAGAGCGGCAGGGACAUCAAGAGGGACGACAGGAAGGACGACAAGAGGGGCGGCAGGGAUGAAAAGAGGCCGGAGAAGUCGAGGGAUCAGGGCAAUGCCGACAAUGUCAUGAGCCCCGGAAGCAAGUCCGACAUGAACGAUGUGCCGUCGCGCAUUAUGCUAGGCAAAAACAUGACGAUGCACGAGCAGUACAUGAACAGCGCCAUUCGCGAGAUGGUGGAGGGCUAUUUUUCGAUUGUGAAGGGCAACGUCGCCGAUCAGGUACCCAAGGCCAUUACGCUGCUUAUGAUCACUCGUCUGCGAGAAGAAGUCUAUGCGCGCCUGGUGAGUGAGCUGUACUCGGACAAGACAGCCAAGGCACUGCUCUCCGAGCCCCCAGGCAUUGCAACGCAGCGCAAGGCGGCCAAAGAGAUGCUCGAGGCACUCACCAAGGCACAGAAUGCUCUCAACAGCGUGCGCGACUACCAGCUCACCAAGGAACCGUCCUCGUCCAUGCAAGCCGGCGCCUAAUUUCCUCUACAGAGCCUCCCCCUCGCCAGUCGCCCCGUUGUCUUCGUGAACAGAUGACAAGGAUAGGGACGCUGUUCCGGUGAGCUUCGAUGAAUGCGCGAAAGACACGCGUGCACACGUACCCGUUCCGCUCAUACAUACAUACACACACACGCACGCGCAUGGGAAUCACUCUGCGUGCAUGCACAUGACUAUGCGCAUGCUACUCGUGAUCCAUCUCUUUCUCUGUAUUUUCCCGACUUUCCUUUUUCGUUGUUGUUGCUCUUCUCGUUGCCCUCUUCGCUCCUUUCUUUUUGAUUGUAUUGGACCCUCUCUCCUUUUACUCGAUAACCUUUUUGCUGUGAUGCAACUUGUUGUCACUGUGCUGUUGCACAUGCGCGCCCCUCCUCUCCUCGCCCUCCCUCCCCCCUUUCUCUCCCAUACCAUCGCUGCCGCUGCUGUGCUGCUCAUAUCUCGAUUUGCAUGCAUGCCAGAUGAUGUGCUGGCGAUCUCCCACCUUCCGUGCAUUGUGCCCUUUUUUCUUCUUUUUCUGUUGGUGCUGUUCACAUCACGCUUAAAAUGGGGAUCGGAUGAAGGGUAGGAGGGAAAAAAAGAAACAAAGAAUCGUUCACAUGGAGCGUCUGCACACAUCGCACUGCAGCCGGAUGAUUGAGAAGGAGAGAGAGACACAGAGAGAGGGAAGGACGGCAAAGGCGUGUGAUGCACCGAUGCGGUUGUGGCUGUGAGCACUUGCUCGUUCUUUUUUCCUCAUUUUCCGUCUUGUUCCCUUCUUUUGUUCUCGCUCUCUUUUUCCUUUCCGCUUCUCUCUGACUAUGUGAUGCCCUUCUUGCCGCAUUCUGCACCUCCGUCUCCCACACAUGCGCCCAG
rnacentral:misc_RNA from 1 species